GUGAGGAAUAUUGCGCAAUGGAGGCAACUCUGACGCAGCCAUGCCGCGUGCAGGAAGAAGGCGCUACGCGUUGUAAACUGCUUUUAACCGGGAAGAAACCCCAGGACGUGUCCUGGGUUGACGGUACCGGAGGAAUAAGCACCGGCUAACUUCGUGCCAGCAGCCGCGGUAAUACGAAGGGUGCAAGCGUUAUCGGGAGUCAUUGGGUUUAAAGGGUGCGUAGGCGGAGCGUGAAGUCAGUGGUGAAAUCCUGCAGCUUAACUGUAGACUUGCCAUUGAUACUGGCGCUCUUGAGUGCGCUUGAAGUGGGCGGAAUGUGCCGUGUAGCGGUGAAAUGCUUAGAUAUGGCACAGAACACCAAUUGCGAAGGCAGCUCACUAAGGCGAUACUGACGCUGAGGCACGAAAGCGUGGGGAUCGAACAGGAUUAGAUACCCGAGUAGUCC
rnacentral:rRNA from 1 species